GCCUCAUUGGGGUCUCCUGCUUCAUCAGAAGAAGACGAGGAACUGCUGCCCGGAGCACAGUGUGGGCCAGAGCUGGGGCCCUGGGCUGGCGGUGGGGCCCUGCUAGAAGCCCAGGGUUGCCGGAUGCCUUCUUCUUCCCCAGGGCCCCCUAAGACCCGCUCCCAGUGCAGCAGUGCCCCUAGGCUCCCAGGACCGAGCAGCAGAAACGGGGACAGGGCAUCCAGCGCCGGGGGUGGAGUGGCCGGGGGGCCUGGGCCACCUGGCCGUAACUGCUGCUCCCAACACACCUGGGAGGAGAAAAGGCGUGGGGGGGGGGGGAGACUGUGUGGCUGGUGCCGGAGGCCCAGGCCUUAAGGAGCCUGCAGGGGAAGCAGUCUGUCCCAGAGACUUGUUAAGAACCCUCCGUGGAGCCUCUAACCAGUCCUGUCCACCCAGGAAGGACAGGAAGCAAAGCUGGCUUCCUCCCUCCUAGAAGCCAUGUCAAAAGGGAGGGGCGUCUAAGGCGUGGGAGACCCUGAAGUCUAAGUGGCCCACGUCACGGCGAUCCGAAGAAAACACUUCAAGUCUCACAACUGUCGGUAGUGUUUUGAAGGCGAUAGAGAAAUCAGCUGGUGCCUGUACCACGUGGUUGGCAACCUGGGGACACAAAGUCCGGGAGCUGAGCUGGCGUUGUGCCCACCCACCCUGUCCCCAGCCCGGUCCUUCGGCAAACCCCACAGACCUCAUCCAGACAGCGUUCGUACGUCUCCCGCUGGUUCUCAUUGGCCUGCGCAAGCGCCGAGUUCUCUGCCUGUAGGGUGAGGUGGGAAAGGAUCAUUGAGGCUUAUCUGAACCCUGGGAGCGAGGGUGGCAGAGCGGACAAGCCUUGCCCUGUCCAUCAGACUCCUGGACCAGGGUUAUCUGACCGUUUUACCCAGUAGCCUCUAUGGCCGCCACUGUCCUCGGAACCAGCAGGGCCGUAAAGGUGGGGUGGGGGUGGGGAAGAGACACUUGUGGCAUGGGACAGUUACGUGCCCUUUGCUGCCGCCUGAGCUGGAGAGUGAAGAGGACCAGGGGCUUCCCAGGGGAGCUUUAGUAAAGAGUCAUCCAGUCCUCUCCCGCCUGGCAAGCCUUCACCACACCGAGCUCAGCGGUGGGCAGCCCUGACUCCCCGUGCCCUGCCCUGCCCGCCACUACGUACCUCCAGCUCCCGAAGUCGGUGCAGAAGCUCCAUGCUGCCGUCCUCGCCAGCCGCUGCCCUCAGUUUUCCAGUGCCUCCGGCCGGCUGGUCCAUGGCCUUGGGAGUCAGGUUCUGGGAACGAGGCCUGGCAGGCUACUCCCAGGCAGACGAGGAACAGGCAAGGAGGGAAGGCAGGAGGAGGAUGACAAAACUCUCUAGUGACCUCUGCUACACUGGUGAUAGCGCAACAGCUCAAGAGAUCCAUCUACUUCCGUCUCCUGAGGACUGAAGGUGUGCACCACCAUGCCAGGCACCAAGGGGAUUUGAAAAGCAAAGAUGGGCUCAAUCUACGGUUCAGCAGGACACACACUGAAGACCAGGAUGCACAGGAGCACAGCAGGGCUCUGACUGGCACUGUGCCGUGUCUUUCCCAUCCACGAGGAUCUUGCCGUUGCUGUUGGCUUGAAGUGACAAGUCUUCAUAUUUCAUC
ensembl:antisense